UACGUAGGGGGCAAGCGUUGUCCGGAAUCAUUGGGCGUAAAGAGCGUGUAGGCGGCUCGGUAAGUCCGCUGUGAAAGUCCAGGGCUCAACCCUGGAAUGCCGGUGGAAACUGUCGAGCUAGAGUCCGGAAGAGGCGAGUGGAAUUCCUGGUGUAGCGGUGAAAUGCGCAGAUAUCAGGAGGAACACCAAUAGCGAAGGCAGCUCGCUGGGACGUUACUGACACUGAGGCGCGAAAGCGUGGGGAGCGAACAGG
rnacentral:rRNA from 1 species